AUGGCCUUAAGCCAACGACAUCAUCUUCAUUUGGAAGUAUACAAUUUUAUUACACCUAUUGUACAUUACAUAUUGAUUUAUACUAUCAAUCAAUGAAAAAAAACAGGAAACGUAAUUAUUAACUCCAUAAAAAAAAUUAAUUCCAACUCUAAGCUCCUUCUCUUUCUUUUUCCUUUUCAGGGUUCGAUGGCGGGUAUCAAGAGUUAGGACCACUGACGGCAGCUAAUGGACAAGGUUCUUCCCAAAGAGCCAGGACAAACAAAAGGCAGUAUGUCGACACCACAAAAACAAUCGACGAGAAAAAAAAGUGGAUACCUAACCUCGAAAUGAGCUCAAUUCAACGAGGGAUCCUGCACUGCAACACCAGGCGAGAAAACCGCGGAAUCUAAUUAUGUCGCCUCGUCGUCCGUCUGUCUGUCCGGAGUUUAUAGUGACGUCUAUAGGGAAGAUACCAAGUCACGCUGGUAUAGCAGUGACGGAAAAUCUGCGCCUCCCUCGAUGGAUUGGAUGGGCGAUGGUGUGGCUCUUUACUCCAAAAAUUCUGCCAGGACUUAAUUUUUAAGAUUUUUCUUAAUUUUCUUUGUAUUUAUUAAGUUUUGUUUCAAGCUUAAUUCAGUUUC